rnacentral:lncRNA from 1 species
CCAGCGACGCCGUGCCGCGACGCCGCCGGUCGGCGCUCUAUGCUACAAAUUCCGCGUGCAAACAUGAGGGAUCAGAGCCGGCAAAAUAUGAUGUUGCAUCGUGGCAUCGAUCAGCUGAGUAUUAAAAUCUGUCAUUGUGAAGAAAAAGAAGAAGCUCCAUUUCUCCUUGGUCGCACCAGGGUUGCCAUUUGUUUUAUUGAUAUAAUAUUAAUUAUUAGGCUUUUCUAGGAUUUUUGAUUGAUUAUUAAUUAGGCUACAGGGUGCACGUGCGACUAAAACUAUGCUCCCGCGUUUUUUGGCAGUUUUCGUCACAGGAGCACAGGUGACGGGUGCUCGACACGUUAGUCAUUCCGCGCAAUGGGCCUGUUGCAAACUUUUGCUAGAGCGAAAAUAAGUGUUGCUCCUUGUAGAAAAUGACCCAAAAAUCACGAUGAACGCAUUGGCAAACUCUGAAAUGCACUCAUAACUUCACAAUCUGCGUAAGAAAAAUGCGUUUUUUUGAGCUUCCCGCUUCAAAAAGGAUACUACGGCACAGGUGAACAUUUCGUGAGAGCAGUCGUUCCAUCAUACCCUUUUCCGCAUUGAGAUGCUGCGCAAUCUUCAAAAUGGCCGACGCUGUGACGAAAACACAUUACAACAGGACGAGAUUCUAACCUCUAACCACCUGUUAGUAACCGGCAUACCUGUUGCGUUUUCAUUCGCAUUUUGCUGUGUUGUGAAUCGUGAUAGUGUUUUUUCCGGCUUUGGAUAUGGCUAACUACAGUUUCUACGUACGGUGUUUUGUGCCGGGUUGUGAAUCGACCUCGAUCACAACUCCCACGAAAAUAUUUUUUAAUGUCCCUCGGGGAAACGAGAGAGAAAGGUGGAGUGCUGCGGUUGGGGUCCGGAGAGCCCUCUCCAAAUCCACACCUCACCGGUGCUGUGAGGAUCAUUUUAAUCUUGAAACUGAUCUCAAAGAUAAAUUCAAACUGAAAAAAGGAAUCCUGCCGCAUAUUAACAUACCUAACAACACUGCUGAGGUUCUGCUUCCUACCUGUGAUUCGAAUGCUAGCCCUCAAAUAGUUGCAGAAACUGAUGAUCACCAGGUAUCUCCUAUCUGUGAUUUUAAUGCUAGCCCUCAAAUAGUUGCAGAAACUGAUGAUCACCAGGUAUCUCCUAUCGGUGACUCAAAUGCCAGCCCUCAAAUAGUGGCAAAAACUGAUGAUCACCAGAUUUUUCCGAGGAGAAAAGCUGCAAAUUGCUGGUUUUUAUUGACUUAUUUGAAUGUACUGAUGCUGAAAGGAAUCAGGCAACAAAAUUUCAAUUCUUAUUUUUGGACAAAAAAAAACAGCAUUUCCAAUUUCAAAAUACAAAAUUUCAACAAAAUUUUCGCUAACCUGCUAACUUUGGUGACAAUUUCAUUCUAAAUUCCUACUUGAUAUUUGAUUGAUAAGAACUUUGCUCAGUUAUCCUCAAAGUUUUGUACUCAGUAUAAUGUAUCUUCAAACUUUUUGCUUACUAAAGGAAAUCAUCAUCAUUAUUUUACACAAAAACGCAAACAAGCGAAGUAACUUACAAAGUGAGGUUACGCAGUGUCUCACCAAGAUUUUGAUCUGAGUGUCUCCAAAACUUUCUUUUUAUAAAAUUAUUGGAUCCCUAUUUUGCCAUUUUUGCGAAAGGACCUUGGAAGUUACAACACAAAUUUUAUGAAAAAAAACAAGCAUGAGGAGCCGCUGGGUGAAGUAGCAAACUGACAUGCAUAUAGUUUCAGCACAGAGACAGUCUUACACUCAAGACUGUUGCGCAUUGCACAACAUGUCCCAGGGUUCACUCCUCAGCGUCUCACCAUAAUUUUUAUUCCUCUCUGUGAAUGAUUCCUUUGCUUUUUUCUGACUUCCAACUGUGAACAUAAAUAUCAUUUUCUGAAUACAUUAUUUUUAAAAAAUGAUAAAGGAAUAAAAAGUAUGAUGAGACGCCAUGGAUUGAACCUGGGACUUGUCGCCCAAUGCGCAAUGCUCCUGAAUGACUACCUCACGGCUGAGGCAACACAUGCAUCAGUUUGCAACUACAGCAAGCGGCCUUUUUUGCCAGUUUUUUUUUUUAAACUUCCAGAGCUCACUUGCAAAAACAACAAAAUAGAGAGCCAAUAAUUUGUGUAAAGAAACCUUUGGCCUCGCCAAAUCAACUUCUUUACUUUUAAAAAUAUCAGUAUGUGUACUGUAUUAAAAUUCACACUAUUAUUUUCCUUUAGAAUUAACAAUUUUUUGUAUGAAAGCCAAAACUAUUUGCUAUUCUGAGAGAUUUUUUUAGAUAAUUGUGAAGAAGCAACAUCUUUACAACACUGUAAUCGUGCAGGUUCCAUUUGCUAAAUGCAAUCCAAAUGUGAUUGACCUUUUUAUUAAUUUGUUUCGAAAGAAAUAUUAAUUGAACUCUGUUAAUUUUAUCCCAAAAAAUGAUCUGUAAAACUGUAGUUUGCAAUAAUUUGGGAACGCAAACAUUUUAUACAUUCAGUGUCAUUACAUGUCUAAACUGGGACACACUGAGCUAAACGGAACCAAGUCACAUCAGCCAUUUCCAAAUUUUAUCAAAUUCAUUUUUUUAAAUGGGAGAACAGUAGAGCAGACUCUUCUGAUAUUUUCAAGGGAUUUUUUCUGUAACGUGAUAUUUGAAAUUUUAAAAAAAAUAAAUUGUUGGAUGCUUGGCAAUGGCUGGUGUGGCUUGGUUACUCUCCGCUUAAAGCGGUCUAUGUAAUCUUGGUUACUUGAAUAUUCCUUAGUAUUGAAUAAUUAGAAGCACUCAUGUUUGGAAUUUCAAACUUCAUUUCUGACUAUUCACCCGGAAGAAGUCAAUAAAAAAUAAGCCCCUACAUUGGAAGUGAAGUUAAAAUAAAAAUUAUUGCGUUUUGAAAUUCUGCUCUCUUCUAAUAACUUUUGCUAUGUGAGAUUCUUGUUUGAAAUAGACGGGAAAUAAUGAUCAUAUUGAAUGUAAUCUGGAGACAAAAUGUCCAGAAGUAACGAUAAUCAUUGUGUAACUUUGAUAAAAAAAAAAAAAAAAAAAAAAAAAAAAAAAACUGUCCUGAAUGUCUAUAUUUCCUCAUGAGUUUGUUGUAACUGUAUCUCAAGUUAUUUUGUGAAAAUUUAAAAAAAAAAAUGAUCUUAGUUUUUUUCUCUUUUUUUAAGGAACCAAGUAAAAUCAGAAAUUUUGAAGGAUCCAAUCAGGAUACAUGUUAUUUGAGUUUCUUUUUGAUUAUACAUUCAGGCACUGAAACUUUGCUUCAUGUUUCACAAUUUCUGAUUUUUUUACUUAAUUGUUGAAUGAAUCUUUUCAGUAACUCAGUAGGUAGUAACUUAAACCAUUUUUAAAAUCAUCAUUUCCAAACUGCGCUGAAGUAGGUAAAACGGUGGCUCCAAGCAUUGAUACGUUUUUAUUGUUGUAAACAGGUUGCCAAAAUUAUAAAGAACACAAGAAUUACAUGAUCUCAUUAUAGUUAUUUUCAUUCAUUUUUUCUUAAAAUUGAAUGUACAAUCUGUAAAUUUAAGUUUUUGCAGCCUCUCUAUAAAAAUUGCACAAUGUACAAUAAAAAGAGAUUUGGUUCUUAUUAUACUUGGUUUGUUUUUUAAUUGCCCCCUUCAAAUAGCGGUGUUCAAUAUAGUUUUUUUGUUUUUGAAUUUUCACUCCCUGAAGUUUCCUAAAAUUAUUCAUCAUUAAUUUUAUUGCAAGUUGAUCAUUAAAUUAUCAGAUUUUUUUUUUCUCUCACUCUCUCUCUCUCUCUCUUUUCUUCCUUAUGAAUGCUCAAGUAAAAAAUUACCUACUCAUUGACAAUGCAUCUGGCAAAAAAGUUUCUUGUCUGUAGCGUUUCAAAAUCUCGGUUUCAAUUUUAUUUUAUCAGAGAAGAACAAACCAACGCUAGGUAUUGCUUAAAAUUAUCACCUAAUAUUCAUCAUGCAGAGAAGUUUCCAAGAGAUGAUGUGAAGUAUAUUCUCAUCUGCCAGGAAGUCUGCAGCACUGCAAACUGAGGUACUUACCUAUUUUUGCAGCUUUACCAUUGUUCAGUACCUAUGUAACUUGGAUACUUAUUGUUCGUCUGCCUGUAUCAGAGAGCCAUCAUCAUUCAGACUUGGAAUAAGAGACCCACAAUAACUUAAAAGUAAAACACUACAGCUCAACUUAGACAUUUUCAUCCCAUGAAAAUUGAAGCCAUAAUGUUGAUUUCUUUGUGCUUUAUAAACAUGAAAUGUGUGAGGAAAGGAGGGGUAUCGUUAAGGGCCUUUUUUGGCCCCACCCUAAAAUUCCUCAACUCCGCGAUUUUUUGGUCAUUGAAG